rnacentral:rRNA from 1 species
UAGGGAAUAUUGCACAAUGGACGAAAGUCUGAUGCAGCAACGCCGCGUGUGCGAUGAAGGCCUUCGGGUUGUAAAGCACUUUUAUGAGGGAAGAGCAAGGACUGUACCUCAUGAAUAAGGAUCGGCUAACUACGUGCCAGCAGCCGCAGUAACACGUAGGAUCCGAGCGUUAUCCGGAUUUACUAGGGCGUAAAGCGCGUGUAGGUGGUUUGCUAAGUUGGGUGUUAAAUCUCUCGGCUCAACUGGGAGGUGUCGCUCAAAACUAGCAGACUGGAGGAUGGUAGAGGAAGGCCGGAAUUCCGGGUGUAGUGGUGAAAUUGCGUAGAUAUCCGGAGGAACACCAGUGGCGAAAGGCGGGCCCUUCUGGACCAUUCCUGUACACUCCAACGCGAAAGCUAGGGGAGCAAACGGGAUUAGAAACCCCGGUAGUCCUAGCUGUAAACGAUGUGAACUUGGUGUU